GGGGUGGUGGCGCAGUUGGCUUGCGCGUAGGUCUCAUAAUCCUGAGCUCGAGAGUUCGAUCGAUUCUUUUUCU
rnacentral:tRNA from 1 species